rnacentral:tRNA from 1 species
UGAAUCGGACGUGAUUCGAACACGCAACCUUCUGAUCUGGAGUCAGAUGCGCUACCAUUGCGCGACCAGCCC